GGGUGAGUAACACGUGGGUUACCUACCUCUUAAAUGGGGAUACCAAUUGGAAACGAUUGUUAAUACCGAAUGUGAUCUACGGAUUAAAGGAAGCCUUUAAAGCUUCGCUUAGAGAUGGGCCUGCGGCGUAUUAGCUUGUUGGUGGGGUAAUGGCCUACCAAGGCGACGAUGCGUAGCCGGACUGAGAGGUUGAACGGCCACACUGGGACUGAGACACGGCCCAGACUCCUACGGGAGACAGCAGUUAGGAAUAUUCGGCAAUGGGGGAAACCCUGACCGAGCAAUGCCGCGUGUGAGAUGAAGGCCCUAUGGGUUGUAAAUCACUUUUAUUUGGGAAGAACUAUAAGUAGAGGAAAUGAUACUUAUUUGACGGUACCUUUUGAAUAAGCCCCGGCUAACUACGUGCCAGCAGCCGCGGUAAUACGUAGGGGGCGAGCGUUAUCCGGAUUUAUUGGGCGUAAAGCGUGCGUAGGCGGUUUGUUAAGUCCAGAAUUAAAGCCCGAGGCUUAACCUCGGUUCGUUCUGGAAACUGGCAGACUAGAGUAUGGUAGAGGCAAAUGGAAUUCCUAGUGUAGCGGUGAAAUGCGUAGAUAUUAGGAGGAACACCAGUGGCGAAGGCGAUUUGCUGGGCCAUCACUGACGCUGAGGUACGAAAGCGUGGGGAGCAAAUAGGAUUAGAUACCCUAGUAGUCCACGCUGUAAACGAUG
rnacentral:rRNA from 1 species